GUUUUUAAAGGAUAUGGAGUGGAAAAGAUGGAUUUCAAACUACACAAUCAUCUAAUUUCAGCACUUGAGUUUACGCUUUAUGAUUCGAAUACGCUUACGUUUGCUUUUUGGGAAAUUUUGCUUUUGAUUCUAAGCUGAUCUUUGAUGCGAAGUUAUGAUUUGUAGAGAAGAACUGAGUGAAGUGACAGUAGAUCCGUUUCUAUGUCGAAGAUGUACACAUGUGCGACUGAUAAGACUUCUAACAGUGUGAUACUAUAAGAUUUCAGGAUUCACAACUGAAACGUUCAGAGCGAUUGAAUGAACAUUAAAGAGCGUUUGUGAAGAAAUUAGCCAAUUCGUAAUUUUUCUGAUUAGCAAUGAAUCAAUAUAUAAUUAAUUAAUGAUUCUUAAAAACAAAUUUAAACUAAGAAUGUUCUUAAAUGAAUAAAAACGUUGUGCAAUAACAACAUUUUGUUGUUAUAAAUUAUUCUAUAAUG